GCCGGAUUAGCUGAGAGGUGGUGCAUGGCCGUCGUCAGUUCGUACUGUGAAGCAUCCUGUUAAGUCAGGCAACGAGCGAGACCCACGCCCACAGUUGCCAGCGUACUCUCUGGAGUGACGGGUACACUGGUGGGGACCGCCGCUGCUAAAGCGGAGGAAGGAAUGGGCAACGGUAGGUCAGUAUGCCCCGAAUAUCCCGGGCUACACGCGAGCUACAAUGGUUGGUACAAUGGGUAUCUACCCCGAAAGGGGACGGGAAUCUCCUAAAACCAAUCUUAGUUCGGAUUGAGGGCUGCAACUCGCCCUCAUGAAGCUGGAAUCCGUAGUAAUCGCGUUUCAACAGAACGCGGUGAAUACGUCCCUGCUCCUU
rnacentral:rRNA from 1 species